rnacentral:rRNA from 1 species
GCGGUGAGUAUGUGGUUUAAUUCGAUGCAACGCGAAGAACCUUACCUGGUUGGAAACCCUGGAAUCCUGCAGAGAUGUGGGAGUGCUUCUUUUAGAGAAUCAGGUGUCCAGGUGCUGCAUGGUUGUCGUCAGCUCGUGUCGUGAGAUGUUGGGUUAAGUCCCGCAACGAGCGCAACCCCUGUUGUUAGUUGCCAGCGAUUCGGUCGGGCACUCUAACGAGACUGCCGGUGGUAAGCCGGAGGAAGGUGGGGAUGACGUCAAAUCCUCAUGGCCCUUAUGCCCAGGGCUACACACGUACUACAAUGGUCGGUACAAAGGGCUGCGACCCCGCGAGGGUGAGCCAAUCCCAAAAAGCCGUCCACAGUUCGGAUUGGAGUCUGCAACUCGACUCCAUGAAGCCGGAAUCGCUAGUAAUCGUGGAUCAGCAUGCCACGGUGAAUACGUUCCCGGGCCUU